GCAUUUUAGCCUCGUUAAGUACCUGAAUCUUUGACUUAAUGAGAACCACAGAAAGUUAGAGCUGGAAGGAAUUGGAGAAAUGAUCUUGUUCAGCCCAAUUUUACUAACAAGAAAAUUGACAAGGUAAGCGUUUUGCCCAACGUUUCACAGCAAGCUAUUAUUAGAUCCUAUUCUAGAAGCUGGACCUCCUAAUUCUUAUUCCAGUCUUAUUUUUCUCACUCUUCACUGCAUCUAACUGAAAACAUGGAAAAAUCUAGAAUUCAAUCUUGCUUAUUUUAAUUUUUUAAGACAGGUGUUGUAGUCUGAAUUUUUCAUUAGAAUAGGCGUUCUUAUUCUUAGGUGCCAUGGAAUGUCAAUUAUUAUUAGAAAAACCUGAAAUUAGUGAGGAACAGUAAAAAUUUCAGCAAUACCCAAAUAUCUUGGCCAGCGUAUUCUCAAUUUUCUUGAAAUCUGGUCUCUUUUCUGGAUCUUCCUCCCAGCAGUUCUUUACAAGUAGAUAGACCUGGAAGAAGGAAGGGGUGGGUUAGUUCAGGGGGCCUAUUUUAUCCUCUCUUCUAUGAUGGAAGUACUUGAGGCAGGGACUAUUUUAAAACAUUGCAACUCUGACGAUGAAGACGAGCUCGCCCAGUGGUCUGCAGUGUGUCCUGGGCAUCGCCACCUGUGCAUCCUUGCCUUGCCCUUCCCUUGGGUCCUGAAUUAAUGAAAAGGUGAUACCAAUUUGGAUGCGGCUGGGUUGAUGGGAGAGACAGCAUUCUUUACAGACGUUUGCAGGAUGUACGUUGAGGAGGGCAUAGGAGGGCUCGGUGAGUAUGAGGGAAGUGACUCUAAAUGAGAGUGAGGCUCUUUGGCAGCAGUUUUCAACCAAUGCCAACAGCAGAAUCACCUGGGGAGCAUUUAUAAAAUUUCUUAUGCCCGGGCCCCACCCCAGGAGACUCUGAUUUAAUUGGUUUGUGAAGGAGCCUUAGUAGGGUUCUCAGAUUUAGCAAAUAAAAAUACAAGACACACAAUUAAACUUGAAUUUCAGAUAAACAAUAAUUGCUUUAGCAUUAGUAGUUCCCAAAUAUUGCAGGGCAAAGGACAAUAUGUACGAAGGGGCAUUAGCCACCGUGCCCCUUUAAGACCAUGUGUCCUGGAGGCUCCUUGUCUGGGCUAUGCACCAGCACUCAUGAUGAUAACAGUCCUGGGAUUGGUCCACCCAGUUGUUUUCUCGUGGGAUAGUUGGCACAAAGACCCUCAAGGUUUGAAGGAAAACAGACGCCCCUGGCAGGGGGAGCGGGUGGUCUCUGGUCCUUGGAAUGCAGGUCAUACAGGGACGACCCCCUUGGCAAGCAUGCAGCCUUUCUUCCUCUGCCUACUUAAACAAACUUCUUUGGGGGGUAGUGGUGUGCAGAUCUAUGUACAGCCAGCUGCUCCUGGACUCUCCCUGUACGUAAGUCCCAGUAAAUCUAUGUCUCACCCAUCAUCUCUGGGUUGUUUCUUUGGUCUCUCAGCACAAUACCCUGCUGCCCUAGCCCAGCCAUCCGUGUGGCCUUACAAUAUAAUAUAUCUACUUUUAAGUUCCUCAGGUGAUUAUAAUGCCCAACUGCAGUGGAGAUGAGAAGUGAGGAAAGGGGAUACAGAGGAAGGGGGAGACACGAGGAAGCCCAUGGACCCAUCAUCUCAUUUGCUACCACUUGUUUGCAGCUUUUGUUGGAUCAAAAAGCUUGGUGAAAACUAUUUGCUUUAAAUAAAGUUUGUUCUUCACUCUGGCCAGAAACAGGAUCACAAAUGGUAUAGAUGCAGUCCCUAUCUGCGUUCUUUGCCUUAAUGAGUCUCUGGAGAGAGGGACCAGACCACAGUGUAGCCUCUGCCUGUGUUCACCACUAGAUGAUGCUCCUGCCUUCUGGACAAUCUGCUGACCGCCUUAGACAGGAAUGGACAGAAGCAAUCGACAAAUGGGCUGACGGAGCACCACAGAGAACAUUCGGUGGCUUUCAGCACAAGAAGAUGAGCAGGAGAUACCCAUGGUGUUCCAAAUUCCAGGUUCUUCCCCCAGACCCGGAUUCGCCCUGAGCUAACAUCUGCUACCAAUCCUCCUCUUUUUGCUGAGGAAACAUCUGUGCUUAUCUUCCUCUAUUUUAUACGUGGGACGCCUGCCUCAGCACGGCUUGAUGAGCAGUGCUAGGUCUGCGCCCAGGAUCCAAACCAGCGAACCCCAGGCCGCUGAAGCAGAAUGUGCGAAUUUAGCUGGUACACCACCGGGCCGGCCUUGAUAAUUUUUGUUCACUGCUGUAUCUGCAACAUCUAGUUCAGUGUCUGACAUGGAAUAGAUGCUUAAUAAAUAUUUGUUGCGUAAAUGAAUCGAUUGUUCCUAAACAAGGUUAGCCAAGGUUACAGCAUAUUUAUAAGAUGGGAAACAUAUCAUCUUUACUCCGUCUAGGGAAAAACUUUAUCAUUUGUUUCCUCACAAAAGUGGAUUCUGAUGGGAUUUGCCGUGGUCUGAAGCCUAAAGGGAUGGCACCAGGGAGGGGGCUGUAGUUUGCCUGGGCAUAGCCUUUGCUUUGAGAUUCAUGGUAGAAAGGAGCAGAUAAGCUUCCUGUGGGAGCUCGUGCUGCUGUCUGCUCCGAAGGUGAGUAAGCAACUCCAGAAGGGGGCCCAGGACCACUCAGAUGUCUGAAGUUUCCCACCUUAGGGCAGAGAACCAAAAACACUAUGGGCACGAUGCCUACAUGUUGACCGGGCACUUAGGGAGUAAAAGACCAUGUGAAACCCUUUGACCAGGCUCUGUUAUCUGUAUUCUAAAAUUUCUGUCUCACUGAAAUUAAAUGAAUCAGAGUAUGGUCUAGCCCUCAUAUGGAAAACAUUUCUAAUUUUGAAAGACUUGAAAUCAUUAUUAUUAAAAAUGCUUUAUCUGAAUGAUAAAUUUUUUAUUUAAAUGAUCAUUUUUAGCAUCAAUUAGAAUGAUCAUAUGGUCCUUCCUCUAUGACCUUUUGAUAUGAUGCAUUAGAGUAAUAUUUUUUCCAUUGAUGGAAUUAACCAUAUCUGAUUGAAUUAUGCUUUUUAUGUACAACUGG
rnacentral:lncRNA from 1 species